rnacentral:rRNA from 1 species
UACAGAGGGUGCGAGCGUUAAUCGGAAUUACUGGGCGUAAAGGGCGCGUAGGCGGUGAGAUGAGUGUGAUGUGAAAGCCCCGGGCUCAACUUGGGGACUGCAUUUGAUACUGUCAGACUAGAGUACAGAAGAGGUGACUGGAAUUCCCAGUGUAGCGGUGAAAUGCGUAGAUAUUGGGAGGAACACCAGAUGCGAAGGCGGGUCACUGGGCUGAUACUGACGCUGAAGUGCGAAAGCCAGGGGAGCGAACGGG